rnacentral:rRNA from 1 species
GACGAACGCUGGCGGCGUGCUUAACACAUGCAAGUCGAACGGAAAGGCCCUGCUUUUGUGGGGUGCUCGAGUGGCGAACGGGUGAGUAACACGUGAGUAACCUGCCCUUGACUUAGGGAUAACUUCAGGAAACUGGGGCUAAUACCGGAUAGGAGCUCCUGCUGCAUGGUGGGGGUUGGAAAGUUUCGGCGGUUGGGGAUGGACUCGCGGCUUAUCAGCUUGUUGGUGGGGUAGUGGCUUACCAAGGCUUUGACGGGUAGCCGGCCUGAGAGGGUGACCGGCCACAUUGGGACUGAGAUACGGCCCAGACUCCUACGGGAGGCAGCAGUGGGGAAUAUUGCACAAUGGGCGGAAGCCUGAUGCAGCAACGCCGCGUGCGGGAUGACGGCCUUCGGGUUGUAAACCGCUUUCGCCUGCGACGAAGCGUGAGUGACGGUAAUGGGUAAAGAAGCACCGGCUAACUACGUG